CCCUCCUUAGUUCAAUGGUAGAACACAUCUCCUCCACGCCAGGGCGUGAUUGAGAUGAGACGGUGGUUCGAUUCCGCCAGGUGGCA